UGGGGAAUAUUGCGCAAUGGCCGCAAGGCUGACGCAGCGACGCCGCGUGCGGGAGGACGCCCUUCGGGGUGUAAACCGCUGUUGCCCGGGACGAACGAGGGGACCUAUCCCCUGUGACGGUACCGGGUGAGGAAGCACCGGCUAACUCCGUGCCAGCAGCCGCGGUAAUACGGAGGGUGCGAGCGUUGUCCGGAAUCACUGGGCGUAAAGGGCGCGUAGGCGGCUCGGUAAGCGGGCGGUGAAAGCUCGGGGCUCAACCCCGAGUCGGCCGUGCGGACUGCCGUGGCUUGAGCACUGUAGAGGCAGGUAGAAUUCCGGGUGUAGCGGUGGAAUGCGUAGAGAUCCGGAAGAAUACCGGUGGCGAAGGCGGCCUGCUGGGCAGUGGCUGACGCUGAGGCGCGACAGCGUGGGGAGCAAACAG
rnacentral:rRNA from 1 species